GAUUCUGCUUCCGGUUCUGGUUUUGAAUCACUGGUCCAUUAAGCUGUAAAGCAUUUGGCCGCUUGUUCGCGCCAUGUAAUUGAUAAAACAUCUCGUUAUUCUAUAUUUAAAUCGCCAUUUUGCCACGGUAGCACAACAGCUCGAAAUAGGUUUCUAUUUUCCAACUAUGAAGAACAUAAACCCGCCAAGAAAAGAAAUUCCUCGUAAAUCGACAAAAGUUUUUGUAGCUUCGAUAUAAAGACAGUAAAUAUACAACUAACUUAUCAACCUCUUUUAUGACAUUUACUGUACAAAAGCUAAAAUUUAAUUUUUAUAUUAGCAAUGCAAAAAAUCUGUAGAAUAAAGAGAUAAUUAUUUUCUAAAUCA